UGACCGCUGGCGGCGUGCCUAAUACAUGCAAGUCGAGCGAACAGACGAGGAGCUUGCUCCUCUGACGUUAGCGGCGGACGGGUGAGUAACACGUGGAUAACCUACCUAUAAGACUGGGAUAACUUCGGGAAACCGGAGCUAAUACCGGAUAAUAUAUUGAACCGCAUGGUUCAAUAGUGAAAGACGGUUUUGCUGUCACUUAUAGAUUGAUCCGCGCCGCAUUAGCUAGUUGGUAAGGUAACGGCUUACCAAGGCAACGAUGCGUAGCCGACCUGAGAGGGUGAUCGGCCACACUGGAACUGAGACACGGUCCAGACUCCUACGGGAGGCAGCAGUAGGGAAUCUUCCGCAAUGGGCGAAAGCCUGACGGAGCAACGCCGCGUGAGUGAUGAAGGUCUUCGGAUCGUAAAACUCUGUUAUUAGGGAAGAACAAAUGUGUAAGUAACUAUGCACGUCUUGACGGUACCUAAUCAGAAAGCCACGGCUAACUACGUG
rnacentral:rRNA from 1 species